GAUGAACGCUGGCGGCGUGCCUAAUACAUGCAAGUCGAGCGAACGGACGAGAAGCUUGCUUCUCUGAUGUUAGCGGCGGACGGGUGAGUAACACGUGGAUAACCUACCUAUAAGACUGGGAUAACUUCGGGAAACCGUAGCUAAUACCGGAUAAUAUUUUGAACCGCAUGGUUCAAAAGUGAAAGACGGUCUUGCUGUCACUUAUAGAUGGAUCCGCGCUGCAUUAGCUAGUUGGUAAGGUAACGGCUUACCAAGGCAACGAUGCAUAGCCGACCUGAGAGGGUGAUCGGCCACACUGGAACUGAGAAACGGUCCAGACUCCGACGGGAGGCAGCAGUAGGGAAUCUUCCGCAAUGGGCGAAAGCCUGACGGAGCAACGCCGCGUGAGUGAUGAAGGUCUUCGGAUCGUAAAACUCUGUUAUUAGGGAAGAACAUAUGUGUAAGUAACUGUGCACAUCUUGACGGUACCUAAUCAGAAAGCCACGGCUAACUACGUG
rnacentral:rRNA from 1 species